rnacentral:lncRNA from 10 species
GGAAAAAGGUUCCGGCCUCAGCCGGCGCACCUGGCGGAGGAGGAACCUCGCGACGCGCUCUCGGGCAUCGGUUUCUCCCAGCAAAGCUUGGAGGGUUUAGCUGCGCGGAGAGCUCAGCGAGCUCUUCUGUGUCUGUUUGGGGCGUGUGGGCUCCGGGAGCGUGAGGACCGGGAAGCUAGGAGGCUCCUUCCCUUCUGGCGGCUCCCUCACUGAGACCGGGCGGUUUGGUUGCGGGGGAAGUGGAGACGAGCCACCCUUGACCUUUGACUGCAAGAACUCACCUUGAGCAGGAUAGAGCAAACAUUGAGUGGGCCAGACACUGUUCUGAAAAAUACGCAGUCGACUUUUGAACAGCACAGGCUUGAACUGCAUGCGGCCACUAAUACUCGGACUUCCUUCUGCCUCUGCCAUCCCUAAGACAGCAAGACCCACCCCUCCUGCUCCUCAGCCUACUCGAUGUGAUGAUGAUGCAGAGAUUCAGAGAGUCUAAGCAACUUUUCUAAAUCAUCUAGCUGGAAUUCAGUAACUGAGCCAGGAUCUACCCCAGGUCUGUCUGACUCCAAAGCCUGUGUCUUCCAGCACACACUGCUGCUGCCUGGGGAAUGUGGAUAUGAUGUCUGGAGCUCUAGCAACCAUAUCAGACCACAAGGAUGAAUGUACACCCCAGGAAUGGAAGAGAGGAAAGCCAGAAAAAGACUCGGUCCCUGAUGGCUGAAGAGCUACCAUACCUGCCCCUAGAUCUUCUAUUUCUGAUCAUCUUCUAUGCAAGGGCCUGCCGGAGAUCAGAGGCCCAGAUUAUUGAAGGAGACGCCUAUGAGAUGCCCAAGCGGUUGCUGUGACAACUCUGCUGGAGGGCGGGAGGCGGCGAGGGCGGGCAGCUGACUGUUGGCUGUGGACAGGCUCCAGGCGUGCCAGGCCAGAGUGGGGAUAAUUCCACCCCAGGUUGCUUAGCUGAGGGUUCUCUGCGCAUUAAGCACCUUAACUCGCUGUCCUGCUGCACCCCAGCCACAGAGGCCUUGGUGAAGGUGAAAUCUUAGAGAAUAGCUGGGAAGCCAAAAGGCCAAGCAGUUUGAUGACUAUUUCCUUAAAGCUGAUGAAAAAGCAACGUGGAUAAUAUUUCCUAACAAUAAUGGCCAGCAGUUAGUGUUCACUGCCAGGCCCCUGCCCAGUACCAAGAGCUCAGGUUUUACAUCAGCAUGACGUGACCUAUGUGGAAUCCCUGGCUAGCUCUGUGACCUUGAGCAAAGUCACUCAACCUCUCUGAAUCUCAGGCACUAGUGUUGACCAUGGACACAAUAACACCUUCCACCUCGUAGGUUUGCUAUGCAGCCCUGGGGCACUCCUGUGCAAAGCCCCAUGCAGAGCUCAAGCAUGGGGUCUCUGGGACCACACUAUCAGGGUUCAAACUCCAGCUCUGUCACUCUCUGGCUAUAUGACCUUGGGCCAGUCACCUAAUCUCUUGAGCCUGGUUUUCUCAUCUGCAAAAUAGAGAUACCAGCACCUGAUACGAUUUGGCUCUGUGUCCCUACCCCAAUCUCAUGUGGAAUUGUAAUCCUCAAUGUUGGAGGAAGGGCCCGGUGGGAGGUGACUGAAUCAUAGGGGCAGACUUCCCCCUUGCUGUUCUUGUCAUAAUAAGUGAGUUCUCAUGAGAUCUGCCUGUUUAAGUGUGUAGCACUUCCCACUUUUCUCUCUCUCUCCUGCUCCACCAUGUGAAGAUGCACCUGUGUCCUCUUCACCUUCCAUCAUGAUUGUAAGUUUCCUGAGGCUUCCCCAGCCAUGCUUCCUGCACAGCAUGUAGAGUUGUGAGUCAAUUAAACCUCU